GAACUGCGAUAAGUAAUGUGAAUUGCAGAAUUCAGUGAAUCAUCGAGUCUUUGAACGCACAUUGCGCCCCCUGGCAUUCCCGGGGCAUGCCUGUCCGAGCGUCAUUGCUGCCCUUCAAGCCCGGCUUGUGUGUUGGGUCGUCGUCCCCUCCGGGGGACGGGCCCGAAAGGCAGCGGCGGCACCGCGUCCGGUCCUCGAGCGUAUGGGGCUUUGUCACCCGCUCGAUAAGGACCGGCCGGGCGCCAGCCGGCGUCUCCAACCUUUUUUUUCUCAGGUUGACCUCGGAUCAGGUAGGGAUACCCGCUGAACUUAAGC
rnacentral:misc_RNA from 1 species